AUUCUGCCCAUGCGGGGAAGGAUGAGAAGCUUCGACUAAGGUUCGCCUCGAGCGCCAGCGAGAGAGCGUUGCCGCAGGCAACGACCCGUAGGGCGAAGCGCGCAGCGCUGAGUAAUCCUUCCCCCACCACCA
rnacentral:sRNA from 1 species